GCGAAGCUCCGAGGAAACACGCUUUGCUAGCUUUCGUGCUCUUAAAAUUUUCGCGGUACAAUUUUCUAAGCAUUGUUUACCUGGCUCCCAGCUAUCAAG
rnacentral:lncRNA from 1 species